CCAUCCCCUGCAGCCUUACCAUGCUGUCCGGCCCCACAGCUGUCUUCCCCCUCCUCCACUCCCCUGAACGCUCCGCCCACCUGCUCCUCCCCCUCCCCUGCUUCCUGAGAAUCAGAUCUUUGCGGGAAGUGUGAAAAGAAGCAGGGGCAAGCGGGAGGCAGCAGCAGGACUCCGCCUCAUUCAGGGCACAGAUGGCCUUCUCCGGGGAUGAAUCAGUGUUGUGCUAUAAACUGUUGUCUGCAAGACCCUGCCUCAUCUGCUGCAGAAGCUGAUAAAGAAUGUGUUCAAAGUUGCCUGAGUGUGAGAAUGUGAUCACUUCUUGGAAAGCUUCCUUCACUCUGGGAACCAUCUAAGAAGCUAUUUCUAAAUUAUAUCAGAGCACAUCCCUUCCCUAUUCUUCCCUAUGGAUGAGUACCAGCACUCUUAACUCUGAGAGCUGUAUCUAUAUAUAAAUAAUCGGUUUUGCAAGUAAGGCUAUUAGUUUGGAAAAACUUAUGAAGAACAAAGGAGGUGCUAUAAGAAUGGCGAGAAACAAAUGUGGUGCCUAUCUUCAAAAAAGAUAAGACAACUUGUAUUGGCAAUUAUUAUUAUUUGUACUUCGGUAACAUCCAAAGGCCCCUUGCUGGAUCAAUAACCCACUGUGCUAGGUGCUAUUCAAGCACAAACAAAGGAGAGGAAGGAUAGGCACAACUGAACAUACCAGAUCAAGCAACAUAUCUCCUUGUCUCUCCAACAGACCAGGCUGUAUGAAGAAAGUGGUGUCUAAAAUGUAUCCCUUUUCAUCCAUCAUUACCCAACUUGCUAAUUCAUAGAAACGUGUUUUUUUGUAAACAGACAUAUUUAUUAUUAUAAAACCAGCAAUUAAUAAAUAUAUAUACACAGAAUAUGAACUUAUGUGAUUUAUAGGCAGAGCCAAUAAUCAAAGUGCCUGAUGCUUUCCAUUAUAAGACCCUGUAUUCAGUUUCUUAUAAGAUUGCCAAAUAUUAACUUUUAGGCUGAGUUUUUCCAUGUCGGAUGUCAAACUGAGUAAUUUUGGAUAGUUUCAGCUAAAAUGGUUCAGCCAUUUCUGAAAACAAGAUAGGAAAAAAAUAUUUUGUUUGGUCCAUGUGUUAAAACAAUUCUUAAGACUAUUUGGUUGAAAAGUUCUAGCACAUCCGUACUUUGGAAAAACUGGACUGUGCAUGCACCAUCCCCACAAAGGCCUGGUCCCCACUAAGCCCCCACUUCGGACUAAGGUACGCAAAUUCAGCUACGUUAAUAACGU